rnacentral:rRNA from 1 species
ACGAACGCUGGCGGCGUGCUUAACACAUGCCAGUCGAACGAAGAGCGAUGGAAGCUUGCUUCUAUCAAUCUUAGUGGCGAACGGGUGAGUAACGCGUAAUCAACCUGCCCUUCAGAGGGGGACAACAGUUGGAAACGACUGCUAAUACCGCAUACGAUCUAACCUCGGCAUCGAGGAUAGAUGAAAGGUGGCCUCUACAUGUAAGCUAUCACUGAAGGAGGGGAUUGCGUCUGAUUAGCUAGUUGGAGGGGUAACGGCCCACCAAGGCGAUGAUCAGUAGCCGGUCUGAGAGGAUGAACGGCCACAUUGGGACUGAGACACGGCCCAGACUCCUACGGGAGGCAGCAGUGGGGAAUCUUCCGCAAUGGACGAAAGUCUGACGGAGCAACGCCGCGUGAGUGAUGACGGCCGUCGGGUUGUAAAGCUCUGUUAAUCGGGACGAAAGGCCUUCUUGCGAAUAGUGAGAAGGAUUGACGGUACCGGAAUAGAAAGCCACGGCUAACUACGUG